GAUGAACGCUGGCGGCGUGCCUAAUACAUGCAAGUCGAGCGAACGGACGAGAAGCUUGCUUCUCUGAUGUUAGCGGCGGACGGGUGAGUAACACGUGGAUAACCUACCUAUAAGACUGGGAUAACUUCGGGAAACCGGAGCUAAUACCGGAUAAUAUUUUGAACCGCAUGGUUCAAAAGUGAAAGACGGUCUUGCUGUCACUUCUAGAUGGAUCCGCGCUGCAUUAGCUAGUUGGUAAGGUAACGGCUUACCAAGGCAACUAUGCAUAGCCGACCUGAGAGGGUGAUCGGCCACACUGGAACUUAGACAGGGUCCAUACUCCUACGGUAGGCAGCAGUAGGGUAUCGUCCGCAAUGGUCGAAAGCCUGACGGAGCAACGCCGCGUGAGUGAUGAAGGUCUUGGGAUCGUAAAACUCUGUUAUUAGGGAAGAACAGAUGUGUAAUUAACUGUGCACAUCGUGACGGUACCUAAUCAGAAAGCCACGGCUAACUACGUG
rnacentral:rRNA from 1 species